UACGGGGGGGGCAAGCGUUGUUCGGAAUUACUGGGCGUAAAGGGCUUGUAGGUGGCCAACUAAGUCAGACGUGAAAUCCCUCGGCUUAACCGGGGAACUGCGUCUGAUACUGGAUGGCUUGAGAUUGGGAGAGGGAUGCGGAAUUCCAGGUGUAGCGGUGAAAUGCGUAGAUAUCUGGAGGAACACCGGUGGCGAAGGCGGCAUCCUGGACCAACACUGACGCUGAGGAGCGAAAGCUAGGGGAGCAAACGGG
rnacentral:rRNA from 1 species